rnacentral:rRNA from 1 species
GGAAUAUUGCACAAUGGGCGCAAGCCUGAUGCAGCGACGCCGCGUGUGGGAUGAAGGGGCUACGCCUCGUAAACCACUGUGGCCCGGGACGAAAAACGCCUUAGAGGCGUUAGACGGUACCGGGAAAGUAAGGGUCGGCUAACUCCGUGCCAGCAGCCGCGGUAAUACGUAGGUCCCAAGCGUUGUCCGGAUUUACUGGGUGUAAAGGGUGCGCAGGCGGAUGGGUAAGUCAGGGGUGAAAGUCUGCAGCUUAACUGUAGAAUGGCCUUUGAUACUUCUCCUAUUGAGAGGGAGAGGGGUCGAUGGAAUUCCAGGUGUAUCAGUGAAAUGCGUAGAUAUCUGGAAGAACUCCAGUGGCGAAGGCGGUCAACGGAACCAUAACUGCCGCGCAAGCACGAAAGCGUGGGGAGC